rnacentral:rRNA from 1 species
GCGCCAGACUCCUACGGGAGGCAGCAGUGGGGGAUAUUGCACAAUGGGCGCAAGCCUGAUGCAGCGACGCCGCGUGAGCGAAGAAGUAUUUCGGUAUGUAAAGCUCUAUCAGCAGGGAAGAAAAUGACGGUACCUGACUAAGAAGCUCCGGCUAACUACGUGCCAGCAGCCGCGGUAAUACGUAGGUGGCAAGCGUUAUCCGGAUUUACUGGGUGUAAAGGGCGUGUAGGCGGGGACGCAAGUCAGAUGUGAAAACCAUGGGCUCGACCUGUGGCCUGCAUUUGAAACUGUGUUUCUUGAGUACUGGAGAGGCAGACGGAAUUCCUAGUGUAGCGGUGAAAUGCGUAGAUAUUAGGAGGAACACCAGUGGCGAAGGCGGUCUGCUGGACAGCAACUGACGCUGAGGCGUGAAAGCGUGGGGAGCAAACAGGAUUAGAUACCCCCGUAUAG